UUUGUGUCACACAUUAAAGGCCAAGGUGAGAGCUCCAAAUUCUUCUCAAAUUCCCCAUGAAAUUAAUGAUUCUGAACCCCAAAGGUCCUGGCCUUACAGUUUGGAAGUGCUGGGUCGAGUAGACCUCUCUGCAACGUCAAAAUUGGUACCUAUGGACCAAAAUAUUCUGUUUAGCCAUGUUCAAUAAAUUAGUUUAGGGAUCAGAGUUUAGUGGUUAUGGAGGUUGAACACCUCGGGGGAACUCGAAUAAACUGAGCAGCCUCCAGACUAUUCCGUGGCGGCUUAUCGAUCAAGCCGGGAGAAACUAUACCUGUGCUCCUUAAAUCUCAAUUGAUCAAUGUUUAAUAAUGUAUAUGUUAAU